AUUAGGGUGAAGUCGUAACAAGGUAGCCGUAGGAGAACCUGCGGCUGGAUCACCUCCUUUCUAAGGAA
rnacentral:rRNA from 1 species